UCUUAUGGGUGAACCAAGAAAGUGGUUUCUUGAGAUGGAAUCUACUCCUGGUGAAGAUGCUGUGAA
rnacentral:pre_miRNA from 1 species